rnacentral:rRNA from 1 species
GAUUAACUUUGGCGGUACGUCUAAUACAUGCAAGUCGAACGGAGACUUUGAUGCUUGCAUUAAAGUUUUAGUGGCGAACGGGUGAGUAACACGUGAGUAACCUGCCUAUAAGAUGGGGAUAACAAACGGAAACGGGUGCUAAUACCCAAUAAGAGUUAGUAAGGCAUCUUACAGAUUUAAAAGGGUGGUGUAAGCCACCGCUAAUAGAGGGGCUCGCGGCGCAUUAGCUAGUUGGUGGGGUAAAGGCCUACCAAGGCGAUGAUGCGUAGCCGGACUGAGAGGUUGAACGGCCACAUUGGGACUGAGAACGGCCCAAACUCCUACGGGAGGCAGCAGUAGAGAAUCUUCGGCAAUGGGGGGGAACCCUGACCGAGCGAUACCGCGUGAGUGAUGAAGUACUUUUAGUAUGUAAAAUUCUUUUAUUUAAGAGAAAUGGUAUUAGUAGGGAAUGGCUAGUAAGUGAUAGUAUUAAAUGAAUAAGCCCCGGCUAACUAUGUGCCAGCAGCCGCGGUAAUACAUAGGGGGCGAGCGUUAUCCGGAAUUAUUGGGUGUAAAGGGUGCGUAGGCGGAAGAUUAAGUUUUAGGUAUAAAUGCGCUGCUCAACGGCGUAUUGCUUAAAAAACUGGUCAACUAGAGUGAGGCAGAGGCAAGUGGAAUUCCAUGUGUAGUGGUAAAAUGCGUAAAUAUAUGGAGGAACACCAGUGGCGAAGGCGGCUUGCUGGGCCUAGACUGACGCUCAUGCACGAAAGCGUGGGGAGCAAACAGGAUUAGAUACCCUGGUAGUCCACGCCGUAAACGAUGGAUGCUAGGUGUUUGGGGAGACCUAAGUGCCGCAGUUAACGCAGUAAGCAUCCCACCUGAGUAGUACGUGCGCAAGCAUAAAACUCAAAGGAAUCGGCGGGACCUCGCACAAGCGGUGGAUCAUGUUGUUUAAUUCGUGGAUACGCGAAAAACCUUACCAGGUCUUGACAUCUAGGGCGAAGAGCUAUGAAAGUAGUUUGGAGGAUAUCCCUAAGACAGGUGGUGCAUGGUUGUCGUCAGCUCGUGUCGUGAGAUGUAUGGUUAAGUCCAGUAACGAGCGCAACUCUUAUCGUUAGUUGCCAUCAUUAAGUUGGGAACUCUAGCGAGACUGCCAGUGAAAAAUUGGAGGAAGGUGGGAAUGACGUCAAAUCAUCAUGCCCCUUAUGGCCUGGGCUACAAACGUGAUACAAUGGUUGGGAACAAAGGGAAGCGAAGCAGUGAUGUGGAGCGAAUCUCAUAAAACCAAUCUCAGUUCAGAUUGAAGUCUGCAACUCGACUUCAUGAAGCCGAAAUCGCUAGUAAUCGUAGAUCAGCACGCUACGGUGAAUACGUUCUCGAGGUU